rnacentral:rRNA from 1 species
AAAUGAAUAGACGGGAGCCCGCACAAGCAGUGGAGUAUGUGGUUUAAUUCGACGCAACGCGAAGAACCUUACCAGGACUUGACAUCCUAAGAAGACUGGGUAAUGCCGGUUGUGCCCUUCGGGGAACUUAGAGACAGGUGGUGCAUGGUUGUCGUCAGCUCGUGUCGUGAGAUGUUGGGUUAAGUCCCGCAACGAGCGCAACCCUUACGGUUAGUUGCUACGCAAGAGCACUCUGGCCGGACUGCCGUUGACAAAACGGAGGAAGGUGGGGAUGACGUCAAAUCAUCAUGCCCCUUACGUCCUGGGCUACACACGUACUACAAUGGCGUCCAACAAAGGGGAGCCAAGGAGCGAUCCGGAGCAAAUCCCAAAAAGACGUCCCAGUUCAGACUGUAGGCUGCAACCCGCCUGCACGAAGUUGGAAUUGCUAGUAAUCGUAGGUCAGCAUACUACGGUGAAUACGUUCCCGGGCUUUGUACACACCGCCCGU